AUCUCAGCAGGUUGGAGACCUCUCUCAUAAUAUUCCUGGAAUCCUGGAGCCCUGGGCUAUGCUGGUGCUUGGUCACGUCAAGGUUCCGCGUGCCACCCUCGGAGCGAGUGAGCUGGGAGUCAGGACGCACCGUGACCCCCGCCCCCGCGCGGCGCACGUGUGGAGCUGCUUUCAGGGCAGCCCGGCAGCCUGGCCCCUGACUCGGAGUCCUGGCCUGGUGACGAUGCACGGCUCCUUCCCAGCGCCUCCCCUCCCUUCCUAUCGCCGCUUUGCUUUGGCAGGUGUGAAAUAUUAAUUGCUUCACUGGGGACUGGGCUUUUGCUGUCUGCAGUGUCUGACCAGAAUAUCAUUCUUCCCGCA
rnacentral:lncRNA from 1 species